rnacentral:rRNA from 1 species
UACCCGCAGCUCAAGUGGUGGUCAUUAUUAUUGGGCCUAAAGCGUCCGUAGCUGGCUUGUUAGAUGCCUGGGUAAAUCGAUGCGCUUAACGUAUCGAAUUCCGGGUAGACCGGCAAGCUCGAGACCGGGAGAGGCGUGAGCUACUCGAGGGGUAGGGGUAAAAUCCUGUAAUCCUUCGGGGAGGACCAGUGGCGAAGGCGUCACGCUAGAACGGCUCUGACAGUGAGGGACGAAGCCCUGGGGCGCAAACCGG